rnacentral:rRNA from 1 species
AUUGAACGCUGGCGGCAGGCCUAACACAUGCAAGUCGAGCGGAUGAAGGGAGCUUGCUCCUGGAUUCAGCGGCGGACGGGUGAGUGAUGCCUAGGAAUCUGCCUGGUAGUGGGGGAUAACGUCCGGAAACGGGCGCUAAUACCGCAUACGUCCUGAGGGAGAAAGUGGGGGAUCUUCGGACCUCACGCUAUCAGAUGAGCCUAGGUCGGAUUAGCUAGUUGGUGGGGUAAAGGCCUACCAAGGCGACGAUCCGUAACUGGUCUGAGAGGAUGAUCAGUCACACUGGAACUGAGACACGGUCCAGGCUCCUACGGGAGGCAGCAGUGGGGAAUAUUGGACAAUGGGCGAAAGCCUGAUCCAGCCAUGCCGCGUGUGUGAAGAAGGUCUUCGGAUUGUAAAGCACUUUAAGUUGGGAGGAAGGGCAGUAAGUUAAUACCUUGCUGUUUUGACGUUACCAACAGAAUAAGCACCGGCUAACUUCGUG